rnacentral:rRNA from 1 species
GUUGCGGUUAAAGCUCGUCGUUGGAUUUCUGUUGAGGUCGAACAGUGCCGCCCUAUGGGUGAGCGUCUGGCUCGGCUUCGGCAUCUUCUUGGAGAGCGCAUCUGCACUUAACUGUGUGGAUCGUACUUCAAGUCAGUUACUUUGAGGAAUUGUGAGUGUUUCAAGCAGGCUUACGCCGUUGAAUCCGUUAGCAUGGAAUAAUAGAAUAGGACCUCGGUUCUAUUUUGUUGGUUUUGAGAGCUGGGGCAGCGAUUGAUAGGGACGGAUGGGGGCGUCCGAACUUUACUGUCAGAGGUGAAAUUCUUAGAUCGGUCAAAGGCGAACUACUGCGAACGCAUUCGCCAAGAAUGUUUUCUUUAAUCAAGAACGAAAGUUAGGGGAUCGAAGACGAUCAGAUACCGUCCUAGUCUUAACCAUAAACGUUACUGACUAGAGAUUGGAGGUUGUGAUUCACAAACUCCAUCAGCACCUCUAUGUGUAAACAAAGUCUUUGAGUUCUGGGGGGAGUAUGGUCGCAAGACUGAAACUUAAAGGAAUUGACGGAAGGGCACCACCAGGAGUGGAACCUGCGGCUUAAUUUGACUCAACACGGGGAAACUUACCAGAUCAAGACAUAGUAAGGAUUGACAGAUUGAGAGUUCUCUCUCGAUUCUAUGGGUGGUGGUGCAUGGCCGUUCUUAGUUGGUGGAGUGAUUUGUCUGGUUAAUUUCGUUAACGAACGAGACCUUAACUUGUUGAAUAGUGAAUCGUAACCUCGGUUACGUUGGA